rnacentral:rRNA from 1 species
AGUGAACGCUGGCGGUAGGCCUAACACAUGCAAGUCGAACGGCAGCACAGUAAGAGCUUGCUCUUACGGGUGGCGAGUGGCGGACGGGUGAGGAAUACAUCGGAAUCUACUUUUUCGUGGGGGAUAACGUAGGGAAACUUACGCUAAUACCGCAUACGACCUACGGGUGAAAGCAGGGGAUCUUCGGACCUUGCGCGAAUGAAUGAGCCGAUGUCGGAUUAGCUAGUUGGCGGGGUAAAUGCCCACCAAGGCGACGAUCCGUAGCUGGUCAGAGAGGAUGGUCAGCCACACUGGAACUGAGACACGGUCCAUACUCCUACGGGAGGCAGCAGUGGGGAAUAUUAGACAAUGGGCGCAAGCCUGAUCCAGCCAUACCGCGUGGGUGAAGAAGGCCUUCGGGUUGUAAAGCCCUUUUGUUGGGAAAGAAAAGCAGCAGGUUAAUACCCCGCUGUUCUGACGGUACCCAAAGAAUAAGCACCGGCUAACUUCGUG